rnacentral:rRNA from 1 species
UAAGGUAACGGCUUACCAAGGCAACGAUGCAUAGCCGACCUGAGAGGGUGAUCGGCCACACUGGAACUGAGACACGGUCCAGACUCCUACGGGAGGCAGCAGUAGGGAAUCUUCCGCAAUGGGCGAAAGCCUGACGGAGCAACGCCGCGUGAGUGAUGAAGGUCUUCGGAUCGUAAAACUCUGUUAUUAGGGAAGAACAUAUGUGUAAGUAACUGUGCACAUCUUGACGGUACCUAAUCAGAAAGCCACGGCUAACUACGUGCCAGCAGCCGCGGUAAUACGUAGGUGGCAAGCGUUAUCCGGAAUUAUUGGGCGUAAAGCGCGCGUAGGCGGUUUUUUAAGUCUGAUGUGAAAGCCCACGGCUCAACCGUGGAGGGUCAUUGGAAACUGGAAAACUUGAGUGCAGAAGAGGAAAGUGGAAUUCCAUGUGUAGCGGUGAAAUGCGCAGAGAUAUGGAGGAACACCAGUGGCGAAGGCGACUUUCUGGUCUGUAACUGACGCUGAUGUGCGAAAGCGUGGGGAUCAAACAGGAUUAGAUACCCUGGUAGUCCACGCCGUAAACGAUGAGU